AGUGAACGCUGGCGGUAGGCCUAACACAUGCAAGUCGAACGGCAGCACAGUAAGAGCUUGCUCUUACGGGUGGCGAGUCGCGGACGGGUGGGGUACACAUCGGACUCUACAUUUUCGUGGGGGAUAACGGAGGGACACACACGCUUAUACCGCACAUCACCUACGUGUGAAAGCGGGGUCUCUUCGGACCUCGCGCGUGUAUAUGAGCCGAUGUCGGAUUAGCUAGUUGGCGGGGUAAAGGCCCACCAAGGCGACGAUCCGUAGCUGGUCUGAGAGGAUGAUCAGCCACACUGGAACUGAGACACGGUCCAGACUCCUACGGGAGGCAGCAGUGGGGAAUAUUGGACAAUGGGCGCAAGCCUGAUCCAGCCAUACCGCGUGGGUGAAGAAGGCCUUCGGGUUGUAAAGCCCUUUUGUUGGGAAAGAAAAGCAGCAGGUUAAUACCCCGCUGUGAUGACGGUACCCAAAGAAUAAGCACCGGCUAACUUCGUG
rnacentral:rRNA from 1 species